rnacentral:rRNA from 1 species
UACGUAGGUGGCAAGCGUUGUCCGGAUUUACUGGGCGUAAAGAGCGCGCAGGCGGUCGGAUAAGUCGAAUGUGAAAGCCCCCGGCUUAACUGGGGAGGGUCAUUCGAUACUGUUCGACUCGAAGGCAGGAGAGGGAAGUGGAAUUCCCGGUGUAGUGGUGAAAUGCGUAGAUAUCGGGAGGAACACCAGUGGCGAAGGCGACUUCCUGGCCUGUUCUUGACGCUGAGGCGCGAAAGCUAGGGGAGCAAACGGG